CAGUUAACCCAGCAACCUUGUCCUGGGAAUCUGGCAUCCAAAGCCUUGCUUUUGUCCCCACCAGGAAGAGGACAGAGUCCCGAGUGCCGGGCACUGAGGCUCCCACCUCUCAGCGAGCUGCUACCUGCCACCCGACACGAGUGAAAAACCAGAGCUGAAUUUUCUUAGCAACCGAAGCCUCGCCCCUGCCACUGUGGAAGAGGUCCCCUGUCAAAGUCCCUCUUCUUUGAAGAAACACGACUGAGACCAGGUGAGAAGUAGCUACAGUUUAAUACAAACCUGCACCAGAACACAA
rnacentral:lncRNA from 1 species